UCCCCUGUGGCUGAGUUGGUAUAGCAUGGCACUUGCGAUGCUGGGGUUGUGGGUUCAAUUCCUAUGGGGGGCC
rnacentral:tRNA from 1 species